rnacentral:tRNA from 1 species
GGUGGCGUAGCCAAGUGGUAAGGCGGAAGUCUGCAAAACUUCUAUACGUCGGUUCGAUUCCGACCGCCACCUUCA